rnacentral:rRNA from 1 species
GACGAACGCUGGCGGCGUGCUUAACACAUGCCAGUCGAACGGAAAGGCCCUGCUUUUGUGGGGUGCUCGAGUGGCGAACGGGUGAGUAACACGUGAGUAACCUGCCCUUGACUUUGGGAUAACUUCAGGAAACUGGGGCUAAUACCGGAUAGGAGCUCCUGCUGCAUGGUGGGGGUUGGAAAGUUUCGGCGGUUGGGGAUGGACUCGCGGCUUAUCAGCUUGUUGGUGGGGUAGUGGCUUACCAAGGCUUUGACGGGUAGCCGGCCUGAGAGGGUGACCGGCCACAUUGGGACUGAGAUACGGCCCAGACUCCUACGGGAGGCAGCAGUGGGGAAUAUUGCACAAUGGGCGGAAGCCUGAUGCAGCAACGCCGCGUGCGGGAUGACGGCCUUCGGGUUGUAAACCGUUUUCGCCUGUGACGAAGCGUGAGUGACGGUAAUGGGUAAAGAAGCACCGGCUAACUACGUG